rnacentral:rRNA from 1 species
CAUGGCCUUUAUGUCCUGGGCCACACACACGCUACAAUGGAUGGUACAAAAGGUGGCAAUGGAGCGAUCCGGAGCUAAUCCUUAAAACCAUCCCCAGUUCGGAUUGCAGGCUGAAACUCGCCUGCACGAAGUCGGAGUUGCUAGUAACCGUAUAUCAGCAUGUUACGGUGAAUACGUUCUCGGGCCUU